GUUGAGACCUACUUGACUCUCAAGGUGCCAAGACUCUGAGACACCAAGCAACUUGCUGACGAGCACACCGCUGUAAGUGGCAACACCAAGACGUGGGCUGUCUGGUGCAGGUCUCUGUGCUGCUGUGGCUCUGCUCUGGUCCCCAGCAUGGAAACUGCUUACCUGAAGAAAUGCUUUGGAAACACCCUGACCCAGGCACUGGCAGAGGUGGCAAGGGUGCAGCCAAAUGACCCAAUAGAGUACCUGGCUCACUGGCUUUACCAUCACAGGAAUAUAACCAAAGCUGAAGAGAAGAAAAAGCAAGAGGAGCUACAACUUCAAGAAGUGCAUGACAGCAACUCCAAGGAAGCAAAAGCUACAGCAACACUGAAAGAAGGAAGCUAUCAGAUUAAGCAGAAGUGUGAAAAGCGUCACCAGGAACUGCCCUCGACCUCUGUUUCCUCAGACCAGACCCCAGCCCUGCAGGAAGACCUGGCACUCCGUGAGGAGAAGAGUACGAGGCAGGAAGCUCCACCAGGUGUCUCGAAUGUGAUUACUAAGACGCCUCAGAGUGCUAUUCCCUCAUAAAAAAAAAAAAUAGCCUGCAUGAGAAGCACUCAUCUCAUCUAAGGUUUAAGAGACUGAGAAGGAGGGGUCUACAGAUUCUCGGGUCUGCUAGCCAUAACUACCUUUAAUCAUGUGAAGUUUUGAAUUAGCUACUAGAGAAAAGUGAACAAGAAUUAAAAACAAGUCAUC
rnacentral:lncRNA from 1 species